UGCAGUCGAGCGGUAGCACAGAGAGCUUGCUCUCGGGUGACGAGCGGCGGACGGGUGAGUAAUGUCUGGGAAACUGCCUGAUGGAGGGGGAUAACUACUGGAAACGGUAGCUAAUACCGCAUAACGUCGCAAGACCAAAGUGGGGGACCUUCGGGCCUCAUGCCAUCAGAUGUGCCCAGAUGGGAUUAGCUAGUAGGUGGGGUAACGGCUCACCUAGGCGACGAUCCCUAGCUGGUCUGAGAGGAUGACCAGCCACACUGGAACUGAGACACGGUCCAGACUCCUACGGGAGGCAGCAGUGGGGAAUAUUGCACAAUGGGCGCAAGCCUGAUGCAGCCAUGCCGCGUGUGUGAAGAAGGCCUUCGGGUUGUAAAGCACUUUCAGCGGGGAGGAAGGCGGUGAGGUUAAUAACCUCAUCGAUUGACGUUACCCGCAGAAGAAGCACCGGCUAACUCCGUGCCAGCAGCCGCGGUAAUACGGAGGGUGCAAGCGUUAAUCGGAAUUACUGGGCGUAAAGCGCACGCAGGCGGUCUGUCAAGUCGGAUGUGAAAUCCCCGGGCUCAACCUGGGAACUGCAUUCGAAACUGGCAGGCUAGAGUCUUGUAGAGGGGGGUAGAAUUCCAGGUGUAGCGGUGAAAUGCGUAGAGAUCUGGAGGAAUACCGGUGGCGAAGGCGGCCCCCUGGACAAAGACUGACGCUCAGGUGCGAAAGCGUGGGGAGCAAACAGGAUUAGAUACCCUGGUAGUCCACGCCGUAAACGAUGUCGAUUUGGAGGUUGUGCCCUUGAGGCGUGGCUUCCGGAGCUAACGCGUUAAAUCGACCGCCUGGGGAGUACGGCCGCAAGGUUAAAACUCAAAUGAAUUGACGGGGGCCCGCACAAGCGGUGGAGCAUGUGGUUUAAUUCGAUGCAACGCGAAGACCUUACCUGGUCUUGACUCCACAGACUUUCCAGAGAUGGAUUGGUGCCUUCGGGAACUGUGAAAACAGGGCUGCAUGGCUGUCGUCAGCCCGUGUUGGAAA
rnacentral:rRNA from 1 species